rnacentral:lncRNA from 1 species
GUAGGAGGCCUCCUUCUUACAAAGGUUCCUCCUUCUGGCACAAGCACCACUGGAUAGCCUGAGUGACCGUCGGGACAGCGGGGCCAUCUGCUGCUGAAACAGCGGAGCUGAAAAAGGAUACGCAUCUAGCCUCUACGCUGCAUGAAAAGCUCACUAGACGGUGAAUCCGGAGGGAUCCGCAGCCCAAGGUCGCGCCCGAGCCCCACAUCCUGGAAUCUUCUACAUUCACAAUCUGACUUCUCUUGUCACAACCUCCAGUCUCCUGGUCCCACAGUCUGGGGUCUCACAGCUUGCCUGAGGUGUCCAGCCGCCGCGCCGGCGGAUGUACUGCAUCCGAGAUGGGCAUUUUCUCUCCCAAGCUCCACACAAGCAAGAAUUUUGUCGUUUUUUUUUUUUUUUUUUCCGUAGCUGAAAUGGAUCGGCACAUUUCUGUGUCAUUCUUACGGUACAGUUUAGUGACCUUUAGUAUAUUUACUUGAUACAACCGUCACCUCUGUUUCCAGAACUAACCAUCCAUUCUCCAACAGAAACAGAUACAACUUCCUGGUUCCACCUCCUGUAAAAUCGUGGCUGUUGAAUGGCUUAGAGUUCCGAAGAUGUGCGAGCACACGAUACCCACCCAGGCCACCAGUUCUGUUCCUAGGAGUGUGGAUGGUACCUAAUCCUUUCACAGCCUUCUGGCUGACAUUUUCUACACAGUGAAUGGGAGUUGCUUUUUUUUUCCAUGCUGCUUUUUCUACGUCUGAGUUUCUUGGACACUUUCCAGCUGCACACCAAAACAGCUUCCUUGUUUGUCUAGACCGUCGGUAAUUGACUCAAGCCGUCCCCCUUGGAAGCCAUGCACCGGACUUUCCUUGCAUUGUGUAUAAGAGUGCUUGCGUAGAUUCCUAGAAGUGGAUGAACCAGCCAAGCAGCUAUGUGCCUGGGGCGAUGUUGAUAGCUGUUGGCCGGCUGCCAUCUUGGAAGCUGGAUCGAUUGCUCAGCUCUCUCUGCUAGAGCGAGAGUGUGUGAAUAGGCCUUCUGCGCCACAGUAGACAGCCUGUCAGUCAGGCUGACAGCUGACCAAUGGGAGUUCACUAUUGUUUCCUUGUGGCUUGUGAGAUGGCUCGUAUUUUCAAUUUCUCUUGCAAUAACUUUUCUGCUUCAUACACACACACACACACACACACACACACACACACACACACACCAGCAGAAAGGUGGUGUGUUUAAUCCCAACACUCAGGAGGCAGAGGUCAGGUGGAUUUCUGUAAAUUCCAGGGCAGCCUGAUCUACAGAGUAAGUUCCAGGGCUACACAGAAACCAUGUCUUGAAAAAACCUAAAUAAAUAAACCCAAAGAAGAAGAAGGGGGGAGGAUGUCUCUGUGAGUUCAAGGCCAGCCAGAAGUUCACUGUGAGAUCCUGUCUCUAAAAAAUAAAAACAAUAAGUUAAAGAAAGAAGAGAACAAUUAAUUUACUCCGGAAUGAAUAGUUUCACCCAUGGGUAUUUUUGUACAUUAUCAGGUACAGAGACCAAGGUCACCUCAUGAGCUGAAGGACACCAGUACCUGAAACCCCAUAUACUUUGAAGCUAAGAGUCAGUAGUAGGUCAUCUCUCUACUCAUCAAAUGUUGUAAAUGUCUGUCAUGUUUGUGAAGUUCACUGUUAGGUCAGGGAUACACACAUGCAUGAGACAUGAAGGGAGGAGAGUCCACCAGGGCUGAGUGACCAUCUGCUUGCACCUCAGAGCUUGGUCUGAACAGGCCAGCAGAGGGGACCAACGUGCAGCUGUGGUUCCCAGCCCAGGCACUGGGGACAGAAAACCUCUAAAAGCAACCUCAAAAGGGAGGAUGCUGUUUGUGGAUUUCUGUGCCCCUGUCGCUUGUCCCUUUGAACUCAGUUCCCUAGAGAAGUCUUCAGAGGUCAGAGUUGUUCCAGAGCACCUGGCCGGCCUGGGUAACCAUAGAGACUGGUAGAGAGGUAGAUUUCAUCCAAGGGUUCUGGUUCCUUGUCAAAAACAAAAACAAAAAAAACAAGAAACAGCUCAGUGCAGGGCUGGCUGGCAUGCGCAGCCAAUCAUGUGGGUGACUGUAGGCUGGCAGCUGUGUUUAGGGGGGCUAAGGUAGCAAAGGUCCGAGGGGAGGUUUGGGGCCUGGGCAGAACUAGGGGAGGAAGGAAAGUUGCAUUGAGCAGAGGGGAAGGAGAAAUGGUCGGGCCCACCCCAGGCUGGAAUUUCCUUGCCCUGCCACAAGAAGCAAAUCCCUUCCUUCCUCAGGCCGGGAGGGUCGUCACCAAGCCCUCCUCUGACCUGUGCGGGUUCCUGGGCACCAGCCCUCAGGAGUCAUUGUUCCUUCCUUCCCGCUCCCCCUGGCUUGUUCUUUGCCUGGAUUUUGGCCCCUGUCACUUGGCCCUGACAAAUCAGGCCACUGCACUGGGCGACCUCUAAAGGCCCUCCUUUGUUUGGCCUCUGUGACCACAGCCCAACAUGGCCUUUAAACAGGUAUGCGCCAAACUUCCACAUCUUCAGGAGUUAGGCAGCCUUACCUGAGCAGCCAGCCACUCCUUCCAAACAGCUGUAUGCAAUUCUGCCAAAAGUGCAUGUAGCGUCACAUCUUGGAGAGGAGCUGGAGUAUUUGUGUGGGGAAGACUAGGGUGGGAGGUGUCCAGCUACAUAGCCACAGCAGGGGACAGGGACUGGAGGUGGGGUGGGGUGGGGCAUCAUCUGUGCUGGGUGCAGACCCACCAGUGCGGCUGCUUUGACUUCACCCAUGUUCCUGCCUAUAACCCAUUACCCAUUGCUCUAUCAGUAAGCCAAAUAAACUUGUUAAUUCCUCCGUGUGAA